UCCCUGGAGGACUAGCGGUUAGGCCACGGCACUCUCACCGCUGUGGCUCGGGUUCGAUUCCUGGCUAGGGAA
rnacentral:tRNA from 1 species